rnacentral:rRNA from 1 species
UACAGAGGUCUCAAGCGUUGUUCGGAUUCAUUGGGCGUAAAGGGUGUGUAGGUGGCGCGCUAAGUCGGGUGUGAAAUUUCGGAGCUUAACUCCGAAACUGCAUUCGAUACUGGCGUGCUUGAGGACUGGAGAGGAGACUGGAAUUCAUGGUGUAGCAGUGAAAUGCGUAGAGAUCAUGAGGAAGACCAGUGGCGAAGGCGGGUCUCUGGACAGUUCCUGACACUGAGACACGAAGGCCAAGGGAGCAAACGGG